rnacentral:rRNA from 1 species
CGGCGUCACGAGUGGCAAUCACGAUUAUUGGGUCUAAAGCGUUCGUAGCCGGUUUAGUAAAUCUUUUGUGAAAUUGUCGGGCUUAACUCGACAGCGUGCAGGAGACACUGCUAAACUUGGGACCGGGAGGGGUCAGAAGUAUUUCAGGGGGAGCGGUAAAAUGUUAUAAUCCCUGAAAGACUACCAAUGGCGAAGGCAUCUGACCAGAACGGAUCCGACGGUGAGGAACGAAGGCCAGGGGAGCGAACCGGAUUAGAUACCCGAGUAGUCC